UUGAAAUUUGGAAUCUAUUGGAGUGCCUGGAUUAUUUCUACAAUUGUCUAUUAUUGGUCCUAUUUGGGUACUGGGACUUUCCAAGAAGCACCCUGGAAUCCAUAGUGAGGGGUAGAGUGCGCUUCCAACUUUGAUCAUAUUGCAUCUAGUAAUAUGUGCUAUGUGUGCUUUAAUGCUUACCAGUGCCAUCUUAACUAUCUAUAAAUGUUUGAGUUGCUCAAUAGUGAUCAAUCAAUCAUACUUAAUUAAUAUGAAAUAUUAUCACACUUGGCUGUGUGUUUUGGGUCAUUGUCAUGCUGGAAUACCAAUCCACGACCUAUUUUCAAUGCCCUGGCUGAUUCAUUGACCCGUCCAUCGUCCCUUUGAUGCGGUGCAGUUGUC